UUCCCGGGCGUGCGAUUCGAAUGCCGCCAACGCCGGCGCUCUCGGCUCCGCUUGCGCCGUCCCCGUCGGAGCCGCCGGCGGCACAACUCGCCGCCAACGACGGCGCUGCGCCCUCGCCCUUAAUCUCCGCUUGCCGCCGGGACAUCUCAUCUGCCCUUCUCCAAGGAAUGGAGGCGAGAAGUUCCACCCCAAUCCACUGAGCGCUCGCCGCCGGCGCCUGGCCGGAUUCCCUAGUAAGUAAAUGGCAGGGGGACCAACAUCUUCCGGCAAGGAGAAAUGUCCGGCAACGGUGUCGCCGUUCCUGGGAUCCCCAUCCCCCGGUAAGUGUACCAUCUUGGAACUGCAGGUGUCGAGGGAGGGGGAGUAGCGCCUGUAGGAAGGCCCUCCCCGGCGAUGGUGCGAGGGACGUCGCCGGUGCGGCCGCUGCCUACUUCUCCAGAAGCGGCGCCGCUGGCACCGGUGCUCCUAACCAGCACAGGAGCCACUGCUGAUAAAAGCGAUCCCUUCUAACACUAUUUUCUAAGGACAUACUGUCCAAGCGUAAGUCUAGAUUGGACAAAAUGGAGAUGGUUCUUUAUUGGUGAUGGAGCUGAAGCAAACAUGUGCAUUGGUUGCAGGAGGAUUCGAGGAGUGCAAAACUGACUUGAUUGCAAUUAAGGAGAGAAACAGUACGGGGGAGACACCCUGCAGGCUACAAGAACACACCCCCAACGGCAGCCAUAUACCGAAAGUGGUUCUUAAUGAGUCCCUGUGGUCUCUAAAUCUUAAUGUUCAGUUAGCCGAGAAUAACCUGCUGCUUCAUCUAAAUAUGUAGUUGCAGAAGAGUUUUAAAAUUGAUUCACAUAGCAGCUCAUUAAAGAAGUGUGAAUCUUUCAGUACAACAUGGAAUUAUGCAGUUUUAGAAGUGUCAUUUAAAUGUGCCAUUAUGUCCGUUAAUGAAUCACGAAAGGUGUGGAAUUUUAGGAUCAUUUAGAAGCAUUUUGUACUCUUUCUAUUUUCGGUCAAUAAUAGAAGUGUGAGAUUUGAGAACACAGACGGCAUUAGAAAUUCUAAUGCUUUGAACAUUUAUAUCUUGCCAUAGCAGAAUGUACACACUUAUAUCUUUAGCUUUGAACGCAGACGGCAUUUUGUACUCUUUGAACAUUUAUAUCGUGCCAUAGCAGAAUGUACACACUUAUAUCUUUAGCUUUGAGCACAGAUGACAUUUUGUACUCUGUGAACAUUUAUAUCUUUAGCUUUUGGGGGGCAACAUGCCCGCUUAGUCUGUACCAAUUCAAAGAAUUCAGUUGCCAAGCAAAUCUUCAGUCA